UCACGAAGUAGUUUUGAGCUAAAUGUAUUAUAAUAAUAGUUAUAAAAUAAAGAUGUUAUAAAAUCUUAUAAAUAAAUAAAUUUAGGGGUGAUAGGCCUUUCAAAAACUAAGAUAUCUUGAAUCUAAUUAAAAAUAUUUAGUACAUUAGGACAACUAUAAAGUGAUUAGGCUUUAUAGAAGUAUUAAAUUAUAAUAUUUUUAUUACUAUAGUUUAAUAAUUAAGUAGAUUUUAAAAUUAAUAUACAUAUAUUAUUAUUUAUAAGGAGUAUUUAGAUAAAAUAUAGUUAUGAAUUUUUAUGAUAAUGUUAAUAUUAGUAUUAGGUAUAUAUUUAUUUAAUGAACUCGGCAAUAUUACUUUUCAACUGUUUAUCAAAAACAUAACUAUGUGAAAUAAAUACAUAGCAAUUUCUGCUCAAUGAUUGUUUUAAAUAGCCGCAGUAUUCUGACUGUGCAAAGGUAGCAUAAUCAAUUGACUUUUAAUUGAAGUCUAGAAUGAAUGAAAAUAAUGGAAAGCUACUAUAUAUUAUGAAUACAUAUAAAUUAUUUAUAAAGUGAAAAUACUUUUAAAAACAUAAUAGACGAGAAGACCCUAGAAAAUUUAAGUAAUAAAAUUAAUAUUUAAGAAAUUUUUUGUUGGGGCGACAGAGUAGCAUUUAACCUACUUAAGAUAACUUGCACUAUAUAUAUUGUUUGAGAAAUUUACUCUAGGGAUAACAGCAUAAUAUUUUUAAAGUUUAUGACCUCGAUGUUGGACUAGGAAAUAAUAACUUAAAAGGUUAUUUAUAUUUGCUCUGUUCGAGCUUCAAUUCCUACAUGAUC
rnacentral:rRNA from 1 species